UGGUUCCGCGCCGACAAUGUAGCGGGGCUCAAGCACACCACCGAAGACGCGGCAGCGGCCUUUGCGGCCGUUGGGUAGGAGAGCGUCCCGCGUGGGGCGAAGCGGCCGGGGAACCGUGCCGUGGACCGCGCGGGAGUGAGAAUGCAGACAUGAGUAGCGAGAGACGGGUGAGGAUCCCGUCCGCUGGAUGACCAAGGGUUCCGGGGCCACGUUCGUCGUCCCCGGGUGAGUCGGGUCCUAAGGCGAGGCCGACAGGCGUAGUCGAAUGGAUGAACGGGUGGAUAUUCCCGUACCGACCAUGGACCGGCAAAACCGAGACGGUGAGUACUAACCUCCGCCUCGUGGUGGUUCCUUCCUUCGGGUUGGUUCCAUCGCGUGGUGUUGGGAGCGUAGCCGCAGUAGGUCAGCGCAGGGGUGACACGGAAUGGGAGCCGGCCGCGGAGGUGGUUUUCCGUGGUCAAGCACGCAGCCAGUCGUGUAGGCAAAUCCGCAUGGCAUGCAUGGCGAGGUGUGAUGAUGGGAGCCGUUAUGGUUCGAUAUCCGGUUGUCCAGGCCGUCGAGAAAAGCCUCGGCGUGAGGGCCAUGGCCGCCCGUACCCCAAACCGACACUGGUGGUCAGGUAGAGAAUACCAAGGCGAUCGAGCGAAUCCUGGUCAAGGAACUCGGCAAAUCACUCCCGUGCCUUCGGUAUAAGGGAGACCCCCGGGCGUGAAGAGGCUUGCCCUCGGAGCGUUGGGGGGUGGCACAGACCAGGGGGUAGCGACUGUUUACCAAAAACACAGGUGCAUGCGAAGGCGCAAGCCGCUGUAUAUGCACUGACGCCUGCCCGGUGCCGGAAGGUUAAGAGGAUCCGUCAGUCCCUUUUGGGGUGAAGCGGUGAAUUCAAGCCCCGGUAAACGGCGGUGGUAACUAUAACCAUCCUAAGGUAGCGAAAUUCCUUGUCGGGUAAGUUCCGACCUGCACGAAUGGCGUAACGACUUCCCCACUGUCUCGACCAGGAGCUCGGCGAAAUUGCAGUACGAGUAAAGAUGCUCGUUAAGCGCAGAAGGACGAAAAGACCCCGGGACCUUUACUAUACCUUGGUAUUGGCAUUCGGUGUGGAUUGUGUAGCAUAGGCGGGAGGCCGAGAGGCGCGGUCGCCAGAUCGCGCGGAGCCGUAAGGUGAAAUACCGCUCUGUUCGCAUUGGAUGUCUAACCUCGAGCAGUCAUCCUGUUCAGGGACAGUGCCUGGCGGGUAGUUUAACUGGGGCGGUUGCCUCCCAAAGAGUAACGGAGGCGCCCAAAGGUCCGCUCAGCCCGGUUGGCAAUCGGGUGGCGAGUGCAAGUGCACAAGCGGGCUUGACUGCGAGGACGACGGUCCGAGCAGGGACGAAAGUCGGGACUAGUGAUCCGGUGCCGGUGUACGGACGCGGCAUCGCUCAACGGAUAAAAGGUACCCCGGGGAUAACAGGCUGAUCAUUCC
rnacentral:rRNA from 1 species